GGACCCGCACAAGUAGUGGAGCAUGUGGUUUAAUUCGAAGAUACGCGCAGAACCUUACCAACACUUGACAUGUUCGUCGCGACUUUAAGAGAUUAAAGUUUUCGGUUCGGCCGGACGAAACACAGGUGCUGCAUGGCUGUCGUCAGCUCGUGUCGUGAGAUGUUGGGUUAAGUCCCGCAACGAGCGCAACCCUCACUUUUAGUUGCCAUCAUUUAGUUGGGCACUCUGAAAGAACUGCCAGUGAUAAGCUGGAGGAAGGUGGGGAUGACGUCAAGUCCUCAUGGCCCUUACGUGUUGGGCUACACACGUGCUACAAUGGUAUAUACAACAGGAAGCAAGACGGCGACGUUAAGCAAAUCCUCAAAAAUGUGUCUCAGUUCGGAUUGCACUCUGCAACUCGAGUGCAUGAAGCUGGAAUUGCUAGUAAUCGC
rnacentral:rRNA from 1 species